UACGUAGGGUGCAAGCGUUGUCCGGAUUUAUUGGGUUUAAAGGGUGCGUAGGCGGUCUAUUAAGUCAGUGGUGAAAUCCAACAGCUCAACUGUUGAUGUGCCAAUGAUACUGAUGGACUUGAGUACAGACGAGGUAGGCGGAAUUGACAGUGUAGCGGUGAAAUGCAUAGAUAUUGUCAAGAACACCGAUAGCGAAGGCAGCUUGCUAGCCUGUAACUGACGCUGAGGCACGAAAGUAUGGGGAUCAAACAGG
rnacentral:rRNA from 1 species